rnacentral:rRNA from 1 species
CUACGUGCCAGCAGCCGCGGUAAUACGUAGGGGGCAAGCGUUAUCCGGAUUUACUGGGUGUAAAGGGAGCGUAGACGGAAUGGCAAGUCUGAAGUGAAAACCCCGGGCUCAACCUGGGGACUGCUUUGGAAACUGUUGUUCUAGAGUGUUGGAGAGGUAAGUGGAAUUCCUGGUGUAGCGGUGAAAUGCGUAGAUAUCAGGAAGAACACCGGAGGCGAAGGCGGCUUACUGGACAAUAACUGACGUUGAGGCUCGAAAGCGUGGGGAUCAAACAGGAUUAGAUACCCUGGUAGUCCACGCUGUAAACGAUGAAUACUAGGUGUCGGGGAACAAAGUUUCUCGGUGCCGUCGCUAACGCAAUAAGUACCCCGCCUGGGGAGUACGACCGCAAGGUUGAAACUCAAAGGAAUUGACGGGGGCCCGCACAAGCGGUGGAGUAUGUGGUUUAAUUCGACGCAACGCGAAGAACCUUACCAGGUCUUGACAUUGAUGGACAGAACUAGAGAUAG